AGGCCCGGCCCGUCCAUAAGGCAAGUAAAGCAUUAUGCUUUAGGCCACAUAAUAUAAAGCAAAAAAAGAGGCCACAUUUUGAAAAGUCUUAACAGUCUAGUGGCUUGACAAUUGUUGAAUAUAUUGAAUCCCUCCCAGUUUCGAGUCUCCAUAGUUGGUUUUUUUGUCAUUUUUUGUUGUGUUAUUAAUUUUUGUUUAUUUUAUUUUAUUUUCAAAGCCAUACUUUUAAAAUUAUGCUUUAGGCCACUGAAAUUCUAGGACCGGCCCUGUUGAUAUGGCUUUCUUUCUCAUGAAGGUGAUAGGUACGUGCAACCUAUCAGUAUUUCCGCGUAAUGAAAU
rnacentral:lncRNA from 1 species